rnacentral:rRNA from 1 species
GAUAAACGCUGGCGGCGUGCCUAAUACAUGCAAGUCGAGCGAACGGACGAGAAGCUUGCUUCUCUGAUGUUAGCGGCGGACGGGUGAGUAACACGUGGAUAACCUACCUAUAAGACUGGGAUAACUUCGGGAAACCGGAGCUAAUACCGGAUAAUAUUUUGAACCGCAUGGUUCAAAAGUGAAAGACGGUCUUGCUGUCACUUAUAGAUGGAUCCGCGCUGCAUUAGCUAGUUGGUAAGGUAACGGCUUACCAAGGCAACGAUGCAUAGCCGACCUGAGAGGGUGAUCGGCCACACUGGAACUGAGACACGGUCCAGACUCCUACGGGAGGCAGCAGUAGGGAAUCUUCCGCAAUGGGCGAAAGCCUGACGGAGCAACGCCGCGUGAGUGAUGAAGGUCUUCGGAUCGUAAAACUCUGUUAUUAGGGAAGAACAUAUGUGUAAGUAACUGUGCACAUCUUGACGGUACCUAAUCAGAAAGCCACGGCUAACUACGUGCCAGCAGCCGCGGUAAUACGUAGGUGGCAAGCGUUAUCCGGAAUUAUUGGGCGUAAAGCGCGCGUAGGCGGUUUUUUAAGUCUGAUGUGAAAGCCCACGGCUCAACCGUGGAGGGUCAUUGGAAACUGGAAAACUUGAGUGCAGAAGAGGAAAGUGGAAUUCCAUGUGUAGCGGUGAAAUGCGCAGAGAUAUGGAGGAACACCAGUGGCGAAGGCGACUUUCUGGUCUGUAACUGACGCUGAUGUGCGAAAGCGUGGGGAUCAAACAGGAUUAGAUACCCUGGUAGUCCACGCCGUAAACGAUGAGUGCUAAGUGUUAGGGGGUUUCCGCCCCUUAGUGCUGCAGCUAACGCAUUAAGCACUCCGCCUGGGGAGUACGACCGCAAGGUUGAAACUCAAAGGAAUUGACGGGGACCCGCACAAGCGGUGGAGCAUGUGGUUUAAUUCGAAGCAACGCGAAGAACCUUACCAAAUCUUGACAUCCUUUGACAACUCUAGAGAUAGAGCCUUCCCCUUCGGGGGACAAAGUGACAGGUGGUGCAUGGUUGUCGUCAGCUCGCGUCGUGAGAUGUUGGGUUAAGUCCCGCAACGAGCGCAACCCUUAAGCUUAGUUGCCAUCAUUAAGUUGGGCACUCUAAGUUGACUGCCGGUGACAAACCGGAGGAAGGUGGGGAUGACGUCAAAUCAUCAUGCCCCUUAUGAUUUGGGCUACACACGUGCUACAAUGGACAAUACAAAGGGCAGCGAAACCGCGAGGUCAAGCAAAUCCCAUAAAGUUGUUCUCAGUUCGGAUUGUAGUCUGCAACUCGACUACAUGAAGCUGGAAUCGCUAGUAAUCGUAGAUCAGCAUGCUACGGUGAAUACGUUCCCGGGUCU